rnacentral:rRNA from 1 species
GAUGAACGCUGGCGGCGUGCCUAAUACACGCAAGUCGAGCGAACAGACGAGGAGCUUGCUCCUCUGACGUUAGCGGCGGACGGGUGAGUAACACGUGGAUACCCUACCUAUAAGACUGGGAUAACUUCGAGAAACCGGCGCUAAUACCGGAUAAUAUAUUGAACCGCAGGGUUCAAUAGUGAAAGACGGUUUUGCUGUCACUUAUAGAUGGAUCCGCGCCGCAUUAGCUAGUUGGUAAGGUAACGGCUUACCAAGGGAACGAUGCGUAGCCGACCUGAGAGGGUGAUCGGCCACACUGGAACGGGGCCACGGUCCAGACUCCUACGGGAGGCAGCAGUAGGGAAUCUUCCGCAAUGGUCGAAAGCCUGGCGGAGCAACGCCGCGUGAGUGAUGAAGGUCUUCGGAUCGUAAAACUCUGUUAUUAGGGAAGAACAAAUGUGUAAGUAACUAUGCACGUCUUGACGGUACCUAAUCAGAAAGCCACGGCUAACUACGUG